UUGUAACCUCAUUUUACCUUGAUUAGUGACUCAACUCAUGUUCUUGUUGUAGGG
rnacentral:sRNA from 1 species